UACGAAGAGGGCUAGCGUUGCUCGGAAUUACUGGGCGUAAAGGGAGCGUAGGCGGAUAGUUUAGUCAGAGGUGAAAGCCCAGGGCUCAACCUUGGAAUUGCCUUUGAUACUGGCUAUCUUGAGUACGGAAGAGGUAUGUGGAACUCCGAGUGUAGAGGUGAAAUUCGUAGAUAUUCGGAAGAACACCAGUGGCGAAGGCGACAUACUGGUCCGUUACUGACGCUGAGGCUCGAAAGCGUGGGGAGCAAACAGG
rnacentral:rRNA from 1 species